AGUGAACGCUGGCGGUAGGCCUAACACAUGCAAGUCGAACGAGUGGCGGACGGGUGAGGAAUACAUCGGAAUCUACUCUGUCGUGGGGGUUAGCGUAGGGAAACUUACGCUAAUACCGCAUACGUUUGCAUGAGCCGGUGUCGGAUUAGCUAGUUGGUGGGGUAAAGGCCCACCAAGGCGACGAUCCGUAGCUGGUCUGAGAGGAUGAUCAGCCACACGGGAACUGAGACACGGUCCAGACUCCUACGGGAGGCAGCAGUGGGGAAUAUUGGACAAUGGGCGCAAGCCUGAUCCAGCCAUGCCGCGUGGGUGAAGAAGGCCUUCGGGUUGUAAAGCCCUUUUGUUGGGAAAGCGGUACCCAAAGAAUAAGCACCGGCUAACUUCGUGCCAGCCGCCGCGGUAAUUC
rnacentral:rRNA from 1 species